GACGAACGCUGGCGGCGUGCUUAACACAUGCAAGUCGAACGGAAAGGCCCUGCUUUUGUGGGGUGCUCGAGUGGCGAACGGGUGAGUAACACGUGUGUAACCUGCCCUUGACUUUGGGAUAACUUCAGGAAACUGGGGCUAAUAUCGGAUAGGAGCUCCUGCUGCAUGGUGGGGGUUGGAAAGUUUCGGCGGUUGGGGAUGGACUCGCGGAUUAUCAGCUUGUUGGUGGGGUAGUGGCUUACCAAGGCUUUGACGGGUAGCCGGCCUGGGAGGGUGGCCGGCGACCAGAGGACUGAGGUAGGGCGCAGACUCCAACGGGAGGCAACGGUGGGAAGUAUUGCACAGUGAGCGGGAGCCUGAUGCGGCAACGCCGCGUGCGGGAUGACGGCCUUCGGGUUGUAAACCGCUGUCGCCUGUGACGAAGCGUGAGUGACGGUAAUGGGUAAAGAAGCACCGGCUAACUACGUG
rnacentral:rRNA from 1 species